rnacentral:tRNA from 1 species
GUCCGCGUAGCACAGUGGUAGUGCGCUUGACUACGAUCAUCAAGAGGUCGCGAUUUCGAAUAUCGCCGUGGAUU